UAACCACCCAGUAGCACCACCUCAUCCACUGGUAAUUACUAUUCUACUCUAUUACUAUAUAAACUUUUAAAAAUAUAUCACUUAUGGGUGAGAUCAUGUGGUACUUGCCUUUUUGUGUCUGGCUUAUUUCACUUAACACAAUGUCUUUCAAGUUCAUGGAUAUUGCUGCAAAUGACAGGAUUUCCUUCUUUUUAUUGCUGAAUUCUAUUGUGUUUAUAGGCCAAAUUUUCUUUAUCAGUUCAUCCAUUGUUGUACACUUAGGUUGAUUCCAUAUCUUGGCUGUUCUGAAUAGCAUAAACUUGGGAUUGCAUCUGACUCUUCAAAAUACUCAUUUCAUUUUCUUGGGAUACAUAACCAAUAGAAGAAUUGUUGAACCUAUAGUAGUUCCUGCUUUUUAAAUUUAUUUAGGAAUCUGAGCAGUGUUCUCCACAACGACUGUAAUAAAUUAUAUUUCCACCAAUAGUGUGCAAAACUUCCCUUACCUCCAAUACCUGUUAUCUUUUGUCUUGUUGAUAAUAAUCUACCAGCUGUGAUGUGGCACUUAAGUGUGGUUUAAUUUGCAUUCCCCUGAUGAUUAGUGACACUGACAAUUUUUUUUAUAUAUCUCUUGCCAUUUAUAUAUCUUUUGAUAAGUUCCAUGUAGGUCCUUUGUCCAGUUAUUACUUUGGUUAUUUUCUUGCUAUUGAAUUUUUGAGUUCCUUAUAUGUUAUGACUAGUCAACCCUUUACAGAAGCGUAGUUUUCAAAUUUAAAACACUUAUUUCUGCAGGAUAUUUCUGCUUUUACCUUUAUUAUGAAUAACAAACUUCAUCUUCUAAGAUAGUUUAAAACGCUUGAGAAAACGAAACUGCAGUACGUAAAGUUAACCAGUCACUUGGUGCCUCAGACAUAUGGUUGUGCUGUCUUCACUUUUACCAGAUUAUGUACAUUUCUAUCUUGACUAUGUCACAAACAUUAAUUCCAUUUAACUGUGAUCUCAUUUGAUAAAGUAAAAUCUCUCCAAACUAGGCUGUUUCCUCUCCCUCUCCCACCCUGUUUUUCACUACAUAACAGAUCAACAAUGAAGGUGACCUCUCGAGUGUUUUCUUUAAGAUUCCUGAUAUUUCUACCUAACAGAAGUUCAAGGAAGUCUAGAUAACUUUGUGUAUAUUGUAGAAGGCCAAAGGAAAUGCACUUAAAACCUGGACCAUCUUACAUGUUUUAGAAUGGAAGCUGGAAUGUGUCCUUCCUUGAAGUCAUUGAUGAAUCUAAUUAGUAAUGUAAACAUUAUACUUUGUUUUGGAGGAAAGCCCAAUUUAUGGAGUACUGGAGCAUGGAAUAUGGAUCUCAAUUAUUACAUAGAAGGCAUAAAAAUAUUCUCAUUUUAAGAAGAUAAGUGAGUUGCAAUAAUAUGACAACAAACCAACAAAACAUCCUUUCACAGCAGGGGAGACAAUAAAUGUUGCGUCCAAGGACAUCAGUGCACAGUGCAAGUACCUGGACAUAUUUUCUGCUUUGUACAAUCACAUUUGGAAUAUCAACUAUGGAUUACCUGGAAACAAGUUAAAAUAUGCUGCAAGCAACAAUCUACAGUGUCUAGUUCAAGUUCUCCCUGAUCAGUGACAACUGACUGAACACCAAAAAGGAAACCUGUUGAAGUGGAAUGGACACUAUGGGAAACGGUGACUUGAUCAGCAUAGCCCUGACUGUUAAUGAACAACUUAAUACAUUAUCCCUCUUAGUAGUUUUUUUGUCUGUUCUACUUAAUAUGACUGGUUUAAUUCUGUAAUUAAUACACAGUUAUUCUUAAGUGUUGAAAUUUAACUGA